CGUAGUCUGCCAUACGCAGGAAGACCCGCUGAACUGAAGCAUCUCAUUAAGCGGAGGAAAAGAAACUAACUAGGAUUCCCUUAGUAAAGGCGAUCGAAAAGGGAACAGCCCAACGUCUUAAUCCCGCAAGGGAAAUGUAGUCGGUUCACCUAUUGCACUGGUCUAAGUCAGAUGGAAUGCUGCGCGAUUCAAAGUAAAAGCCUCGUAUGACCAACCGCAAGCUUACGAUGGACCGGGGAGAGUCGGAUACUUUGAGAGUAGUGUCUUAAGGGGGUGGUAUGUCCCAUCCAAGGCUAAAUAACGUGAGGAGACCGAUAGAUUACAAGUAGUGUGAACGAAAGAUGAAAAGAACUCUAAAACAGAGGGUGAAAAGUUCCUGAACUUGCUUAGGGUUAAGGCUAUUUAUAGUACCCGUCUUGAAACACGGAUUAGGGAGUUUAUCUGUAGUGCGAGUCUUUGCACGUUAACUGUAAAGGCGUAGAGAAAGCAACUGGCGUUUGCAUGGCUACUGAGCAUUACUGAUAGGACCCGAAAGGUGGUGAACUUUGCCUGCACAGGUUGAAGUCAGGGGAAACUCUGAUGGAGGACCGUACGGGUUAUUGAUGUGCAAAUCAUUUUUCUGAUGUAGGUAAAGGUGCGAAAGACUCAUCGAACCACCUAAUAGCUGGUUUCCUCCGAAGUUUCCCUCAGGAUAGCUGUAAUGCAUUUAGUUAAGGGGAGUAGAGAUAUGGGUAGAGGUGCAGGGAGCCUUCGGGUUCUCAACUUAUUUCCAAACUUCGAACCUCCUUGUUAGGCAUUUACCUAACUGGAAAUGCUUAAAUGAAUUAGCGUUACAAGUGGGCUCUGACCGGUAAGCGGUCAUGGCGAAAUGGGAUGAACCAUACGUCUGAAUAAGGUGCCGAAAUGUACUAUCACUGAUACCAUAAAGGGAGUCCAUGUAUUUAGACAGCAGGUCGGUGCCCCUAAAAGCAGGUAUCCGCUAAAGAGUGUGUUAAAACUCACCUGCCGAAUACUACGGGCCCCGAAAAUGAUGGCGCAUAUAGUACUACGAUCUCAGACAUCAGUUCUAUUGAACUGAGAGUAGGGGAUGUGGACAUUUUUUGUGAA
rnacentral:rRNA from 1 species